UUGGAAAUUUGCCAAUAUAAAAUGUUGCUGAUGAAGUUUUUUUUAUUGUUUUAUACAAUAAACAAUGUAUAUUCACUUUUACUACCAACCAAUCUUUACCAUUCAGUGAUAACAAGCACUUUAUUUUACAUUUUAAUAUUUUAUGAUGUAUUUAAAAGAGUAGUUAUUGUUGCAAACUCCAUUAGAAAUUUGAAUUGAAUAUCAGUUUUGGAAAAAGGGAAACGGGGAUGUGAAAAAAAGGGGGGUUUAAAUUUUUCUCAUUUCAGAUUUCAUAAAUAAAAAGAAAAUUUCUUCAAACAUUUUUUUGAGAGGAUUAAUAUUCAACAGCAUAGUGAAUUGCUCAAAGGCAAAAAAAAACCUUUUAAGUUCAUUAGACCACAUUCAUUCUGUGUCAGAAACCUAUGCUGUGUCAACUAUUUAAUUUUAGAUUUAAAAAGUUUGAAAAAAAAAUCUUUAAUUGAUUUGUAAAAUCUUGACAUUUGUUUUGUGUAAAAAAAAAACCAUGUAAUGUCAAAAAUUUGAUCACAAUCCAAAUUCAGAGCUGUAUCACGCUUGAAUGUUUUGUCCAUACUUGCCCCAACUGUUCAGGGUUCGACCUCUGCGGUCGUAUAAAGCUGCGCCCUGCGGAGCACCUGGUUGUAACUUGUAUAAAAAUCUUUUCUUAAACUUCUUGGCCAAAUUUAACCAAACUUGGCCACAAUCAUAAUACUAGGGUAUCUAUUUUUAAAAAGAGUGUCUAAUGACCCGGCCUACCAACAAAGAUGGCCGACAUCAGUAAACACAUUAACAGGUGAGCGACACAGGCUCUUGAGAGCCUCUAGUUUUCAUUAUGCUAGACACUGGGACCAAUAUUUUUUUGUAUUCCAAUGUUUAUUGUAGAAAGGACCCAUUUCAUUAUUUUCUGAACGGAUACAAAGUAUCAUUACACACCUUUAUUGUGAUUAUUUUCUAGGUAAAUGGCAUAUACACAUUUGAUUGAAUUUAUUUACAAAUUAUUUACUUGUAUAAUUUACAGAUUGAUCGCUUUUAUGAUAUAACAUUUUUUGUGGCAUUACAAGAUAUUGUGUUGUAUUUUAUAUAGAGCCAUGCACUAACUUAUGGAAAAUAUAUGCCACUAAAAAUUUUGUAAAUCUGUUUAUACCUCUAUGAAAUAUAUUUAACAAAAAAGUCCUUCUGUAUAACCUUUCAUAACUUGCAGACAUCAAAUUAUAAUUAAAAAAGGAUGAAAUCAAGCCAUACUUAAUAUUAACUCACAGUGCCAUUAAAAAUGACAUUUUUGUAAAAGUUAUAAUAGCCAGAACAUUAUUUUUUAAGUUAAGUGUUAACAUAAAACAUAAAAGUUUUAAAUUUUUUUUUUACUUUAAUCUUAUAAUUAUUUACCUAUAAGUUAGUUAGAUAAUAUAUUUUUUUUAUUUCUUGAAGACAGAGAUAGUAGAUAGGUGCUUUGUUAUGUUAGUUUUUUCCUGCAUUAUCAAUCAUGUUUUAUAAGAGUUGUGAUGCAUAUGUUGUGCAGUUAUUGUUUUGAUUGUUUGUAUGUUUAAAUAUCUCUAUGAGAGGGAAAGGAAAUCCAUUUUAACAUCUGUUUUAUAAUACUUUGUUAAUAUUAGAUGUGUAUUAUCAUGUAGAUAUGUAUUCAAUAUAUGGUGCUGUUAAAGCUUAUUGUUGUGGCAGAGAGGAUAGGAAGCUUCUUUCUAUUUUUAAGGAAAAGUGGGGGUUUGUGGACACUAAAAAAUUUAGAAAUGGCAUUAAGUAAUAUGCUUGUUUUUCAACUUGUGACCGAAUAUCUUUAAUUUUUUCUUCAUUUAAAUUCAUGCCCAUAUUUUAGGGUAAUAUAGAAUCUUUAAAAUGAUCUUGUUGUUUAUGCCAUUAAAAUGUUCAGUAUAUUUUUGUCAGAAUUUCUUUGAAAAGCCAAAACAAAAAAAAUGCAUAUUUGUAAAUAGGAGCUUAAUUUCACUUUAAGGUAAUAUUUUUGUCCCCAAACUUUUGUUUCAUAAUUUUAGUUAUUAACAAAGUUCUAACUUAACACUGCUUGCUUACAUGCAUAGUUGACCAGUUUAGUUUUAUUUCUUCAGGUCUUUUAGUCAUUAUUUUGUUGGAUAUUUUUUAACAUUGUUAAAACACCAAUAGGUUGUGAGUUUAAAAUGUUUUUAUUUUACAUAGUUUAUUGUUUUUUUGUUUAUGUAUAAUUUUGGGGUAAUGGUUGUGUGUAAUAUUCUCUUUUUUUCCCUCACUUUAUUAAAGCAAUCAAAUUUUGUAUUUUACACGAUUAAAAGAACUUUAUAUUUUUCUUUUUGUAAACAAUUGAUGUUGUACUAAUAAGUUAAACUUCUGUUUAGGUAUAUAAUUAUGUAGGAGUUUGUUUAUUUUGUGUCAGUCUUUCUGUAUUUGAGUUGUUACGCCUAUAUUGUAUCAGUUUUGUAAAUGCUCAAAAUCUUUUUGUUCUAGAUCUGACAAUCUGUAUAGAUUUAAAACUUACCUAUAUAUAUGUUGUUAUAAAUAAUGUCAUUGAAGAUUAAGAUCUGUCAUAAUUUUGUUUAAUUCGUCGUUUCAGAAUCUAAGGUAUACUGGGUAAUAUUUUUAAAUAGCUACAUUAAAAUGUUUUGAUCUGCCAAUUAAGCCCAAUUAAGUUAAUUGGUUAAUAUUAUUCUUGUUGUAUGUGAUAAGAACAAUCAAAUUGCUCUUUGUCCUUUGACAUUCUGAAAUGUUAAUUCUUCUUAACUACUUGAUCAAUAUCAUGGCUAUAAAUGGCUUCUUUUUUUAGGGUAAAAUGAAAAGUGUUGGCAAUAUAUUUAUCUCUUCUUUAUUUUAUUUUAUAAUUUUUGUGUUAGAUUCUGUCGUAUUAGAACUUGUUAUUGUGACAUGACUGUAAGUGUUGCUCUACACCUAUUGCAGUUCAUAUAAAGUUCUGACCAAAUUGCAAUUUGUCCUUUCAUAAUGUGCAUUAUCAUCAUAAGCAUCAUGUACAAUACAAUUAAUGAUGUUGUUGCAACCAAGCUAGAAAUUGGAAAAUAUUUCUGUAUUCAUAUCAUAUUGCAUGACUCACCUGAAUCAAAUUUCUUGGACGCAAUAUUAAUUGCGGUAACAUGUAUAAUUCUGAAUUGGUCUAUUUGUACUACAUGUAUUGUAAAAUAUUUACACCUAUAAUUUACCAGGGUAGAGUUUCAAUCACUGUAAGCUUUCUCAUCACUCAUACUCAGUUAAUCAGUGCAAUAUAAUUAGAAUCUCUAUUACACAUGUAAUACACUUUGUUUGUCUUAUUACACAUGUAGGUUGUGUGUUACACAUGUAGGUUAUGUAUAAAAGAUGUAGGUUAACUUAGCAUUCCGCCUUUACAUUCCUUUUUUGUUACUUUUGGUCUUUGUUUACUAAUUUAAUAAAGCUAAUAUAUAUAAUAUGUCAAUAAAGUUUCUUUUAUUAUCAACUUA
rnacentral:lncRNA from 1 species